GUGGGGAAUAUUGCGCAAUGGGGGAAACCCUGACGCAGCAACGCCGCGUGAGUGAUGAAGGCUUUCGAGUCGUAAAACUCUGUCUUUGGGGACGAAUAAUGACGGUACCCAAGGAGGAAGCCCCGGCUAACUACGUGCCAGCAGCCGCGGUAAUACGUAGGGUGCAAAAGUUGUCCGGAAUUACUGGGUGUAAAGGGUGCACAGGCGGUUUUGGUCGUCAGAGGUUAAAUGCCACGGCUCAACUGUGAACCUGCCUUUGAUACGGCAAGACUUGAGUGGAAGAGAGGAUGAUAGAACUCCUGGUGUAGCGGUGAAAUGCGUAGAUAUCAGGAAGAAUACCAUUUGCGAAGGCGGUCAUCCGGCUUUCAACUGACGCUUAAGCACGAAAGCGUGGGUAGCGAACAGGAUUAGAAACCCUGGUAGUCC
rnacentral:rRNA from 1 species